UAGAAGAAUUUUUCUCGCACUCCAAACAAUUUGAUUGCAGCGAGAGUGGGCGACGUGGGAUUGACCAAUUCCCGCAGGAGGGUGGGUAGGAACAUGCGGUAGGAUUGGCCAACCCUAUCCACCAAUCCCCCGUACACCUCGACCCUCGCAUCCCUCCUCCCCUGCUUGCUUGCCCCGCGUGCGGUCGCCGCCUCUCCACGGUGAUGAGCGGCAAGGCCUCGUUCACAAGUGGAGCGUAUGGGCCGUUGCAGCCACCGCCGAGAGGGGCUGCCUCCUCUCCUCCUCACCUCCAGCGGCUGGCGCGGUGUAGGGAGCACCGAGCGGCGCCAAGCACGGCCAAUGGCCUUGACGCGUAUGGUAGCGGCGGCGGCUAGGACGUUGGCCCUCAGCAAUUUCGAGUCCGAGUCAAGGAAAUAACACAAGAGACUGGUUGUUGCUCACAAAAAGAAGAAAAAAGUUGAUGUACUGUAUUAUUGCUGACAUUUAUGUUGAACAAAAGCCAUGCUAAGAUAUUUAUAACCGCAGGAAAUUUCUAUCUU